AAUAAUAUACUAUUAUUUAUAUUGUAUUGUACGUACACAAAAUUGUUUCAGUAUAUGAAUUGAUGAUUCAAUAAGUAUCUACUUUUCUGUUCUGCGUCUCUCUAUCAUCGUAUGUGAAAUUAGUUUUUUUUUCAAAUCCACUGAAUAAUAUUUGAUUCUCGUUACGUUGUGCACGUUUAUUGUACAUAAUAAUGUCCAAUAAGACUUCAUCUAGAUUUUUUUUUUAUUCCAAAGAAUAUUACCAGUCAAUAAAAAACACUUUAAACAUGUUUCCACACUCGAAAAUUUGUUCAAAAUGUCAUCAACAUAUUUUCAUUUUAUUAUUUGGAUUUGAGAUGUAAUGAAUAAGAACUGUAAUUGUUUAAAGAAUGAUUAUGAUGAUGAUGAUGAACUCCUUUAUGAAAACGAUACGAACUUGGAAUUGACGUUUUGAUGGAUUAGAUGGUUCAGAUAAAAAAUCAUUGAUAA